UACAGAGGUCCCAAGCGUUGUUCGGAUUUACUGGGCGUAAAGGGCGCGUAGGCGGUCAGCACAAGUCAAUUGUGAAAUCUCCGAGCUUAACUCGGAAAGGUCAACUGAAAACUGUGCGACUAGAGUGCGGAAGGGGCAACUGGAAUUCUUGGUGUAGCGGUGAAAUGCGUAGAUAUCAAGAGGAACACCUGCGGCGAAGGCGGGUUGCUGGGCCGACACUGACGCUGAAGCGCGAAAGCCAGGGGAGCGAACGGG
rnacentral:rRNA from 1 species